rnacentral:rRNA from 1 species
AGAACGAACGCUGGCGGCAGGCCUCAAACAUGCAAGUCUAGGGGGCGUAGCAAUACGUCACCGGCGGACGGGUGCGUAACACGUGGGAAUGUACUUACUGGUUCGGAACAACUCAGGGAAACUUGAGCUAAUACCGAAUGUGCCCGAAAGGGGAAAGAUUUAUCGCCAGUAAAUCAGCCCGCGUCCGAUUAGCUAGUUGGUGGGGUAAAGGCCCACCAAGGCGACGAUCGGUAGCUGUUCUGAGAGGAAGAUCAGCCACACUGGGACUGAGACACGGCCCAGACUCCUACGGGAGGCAGCAGUUGGGAAUCUUGGACAAUGGGGGAAACCCUGAUCCAGCCAUGCCGCGUGAGUGAUGAAGGCCUUCGGGUUGUAAACUCUUUCGACGGGGACGAUAUGACGGUACCGUAGAAGAAGCUCCGGCUAACUUCGUGCCAGCAGCCGC